UAAAAUAUUAAAAUAGUUUAAAAUAGCACUUUUUGUAGUUGAAGUUAGGGUCGCUUACGUUUCAUAUAUCAUGAGGAACUUGUGACGGAUAGCUAUUUUGAUGUUUAUUGGGUGCGUUAAUAUCCAAAGAUUAAAUUUAAAGAUACUGCAGAUUAAGAAACCUCUUCACAUACUAUACACAUAGCAUUCCUCACAUAGAACAAAAUUUGUAACUUCAAAGUAAAUUAAGAGAGGGACAAAGUCAGAGUCAGUAUCUUAGUGCUCUUUAACUACUCUUCAAAGAACUUGUUAAAUAUACUGGUGUGAUUUACUACAUCGAAUUACGAGUUAACUGUAAGCAUAUACAUAGUUAAGUCACUUAUUAUGUGCAAACCAAAAGAAAGAGAAUAUCCGGUCGGAGACGAAGCAUUUGAAUGCCUAACUCUAUUGAAAUUAGUUUUGUCGCAUGCAGAUCGGAUUACAGACUUAAUUAAUAAGCUUAAUUUUCUUAUAUUUUCUGCAGAAAUAUUAGAAGUGAUAAAUGUAGAUGAAGAACGCAGGGAAUUGAGAGAAAAUUUGCUUAAUAAACUGGAGGAUAUACACAGAGACUGUCUUCUCUAUUUGGCGCAACUCGAUGAAGCAGAACUGAUUGAGCCAUUACCAUUUGGGGCGCCAAGGAAUGAAAGAAAUCAAAUAAUAAAUGAUGUGGAUGACUUGGGUGAAUUUAUAAAAGAAAUCAAACUGAAAGAAACUCAUUAAAUGGAUCCCGAGACAUCUAGAAAUCUAGAGUAGUUAUUUUGCAGGAUUGGAAUGAUAAUUAAAUGCUUUGUGAAUAUGUUAAAAAAUGUUUUCAUAUCAUUAAAUAAAACAUGCAAA